AACGACUCUCGGCAACGGAUAUCUCGGCUCUCGCAUCGAUGAAGAACGUAGCGAAAUGCGAUCCUUGGUGUGAAUUGCAGAACCCCGUGAACCAUCGAGUCUUUGAACGCAAGUUGCGCCCGAAGCCAUUAGGCCGAGGGCACGUCUGCCUGGGCGUCACGC
rnacentral:rRNA from 1 species